UACGGAGGUCGCAAGCGUUAAUCGGAAUCACUGGGCGUAAAGGGCACGUAGGCGGCUUGAUAAGUCAGGUGUGAAAUCCCUGGGCUCAACCUGGGAAUGGCAUUUGAUACUGUUGAGCUAGAGUCUGGUAGAGGGAGGUGGAAUUCCAGGUGUAGCGGUGAAAUGCGUAGAGAUCUGGAGGAACACCGGUGGCGAAGGCGGCCUCCUGGGCCAAGACUGACGCUGAGGUGCGAAAGCGUGGGGAGCAAACAGG
rnacentral:rRNA from 1 species